rnacentral:rRNA from 1 species
UAAGGAAUCUUCCACAAUGGGCGAAAGCCUGAUGGAGCAACGCCGCGUGCAGGAUGAAGGCCCUCGGGUCGUAAACUGCUUUUCUUAGCGAAGAAUAUGACGGUAACUAAGGAAUAAGGAACGGCUAACUACGUGCCAGCAGCCGCGGUCAUACGUAGGUUCCAAGCGUUAUCCGGAGUGACUGGGCGUAAAGAGUUGCGUAGGCGGCUUGUUAAGCAGAUAGUGAAAUCAUGUGGCUCAACCAUUAUGGCUAUUAUCUGAACUGGCAAGCUCGAGAGUAGUAGAGGUACCUGGAAUUCCCAGUGUAGGAGUGAAAUCCGUAGAUAUUGGGAGGAACACCAAUGGCGUAGGCAGGGUACUGGACUAUUUCUGACGCUGAGGCACGAAAGCGUGGGGAGCGAACCGG